CAGUGGAUAACUUCUCCAUCGGUGAAGGAACCAUGCAAAGCUGCUAGACAGAAAAAGAGAACUAUAAUUUUGGGAAGUGGUUGAAAAGGAAAAGCUACUAUUAGAAUUGCAAAACUUGGUGGAGUGAAUGUAGAAGUCACUGUAUGCUUUUAAUUAAAGGAACACAAUAAAUCUUGUAUUGGAAGCGUUCUCCAUGGAAACAUCACGGAAACUUCUGGACUCAAUUUCCUUCCCCAUGUGUGAAUGUCACUGAAAAUAUCCAACUCCAUUCUAUCCCCAUAUAACUUCAGAAACUAAGCAAAAUGAAGACUCAAAAUUCAUUUCAAAUAAUGAAAUGAAGAUAUAAUGUAGAAUGGAAUUGGGAAAAUGUCUGGUUUAAAUUCUGGAAAGUACCAGCUAUACAAUUCUGGAUAAGUUGCUUAAUCUUGCUUAGUCUAAUUUGAUGCCCAUCUCACAGGAUGUUAUGAUGAUUUAUUUAAUAUCUUUGUAUAACAUACAGUGUUAUGUAAUUUCUUCUUGUUUUUCUUGAGUAAAUUCAUAUCCUUAAGCAACU